GGGAGCGCCGCGGAGGUGCCGCGCUGCGCAGCGCAGAGCGAAGGGAGUCGGAGACACCGUCGGUAAAGGCGCGGUGACGGGAGGGGUGAGGGACCGGUCAGGACGGCAUAUGCCCAUGUGCGAGCCCGAGGCGUGGAAACCAGAAAUCAGCCGAAACCAGACUCAGGAGGAAGACCAAGGGCUGCAGAUAGAUGGCAGCUUAGGCUGAGAAUAGAGAACCACAUCGUUUAACAGAUAUCCAGGAGACGAGACCAAAGAGGUUCAUGUUUAUAAAUCAAAACUGGUAUUUAUUGCACCAUUAUUAAAAAAAAAUUAAAUUACUUGUUAAAGUAAAAA